rnacentral:rRNA from 1 species
AGAACGAACGCUGGCGGCAUGCUUAACACAUGCAAGUCGCACGGGCAGGGGAAACCCUGUCAGUGGCGGACGGGUGAGUAACGCGUAGGUAUCUAUCCUUGGGUGGGGGACAACGGCUGGAAACGGCUGCUAAUACCGCAUGAUGACCGAGGUCUAAAGGCGCAAGUCGCCUGGGGAGGAGCCUGCGUACGAUUAGCUUGUUGGUGGGGUAAAGGCCUACCAAGGCUACGAUCGUUAGCUGGUCUGAGAGGAUGAUCAGCCACAUUGGGACUGAGACACGGCCCAAACUCCUACGGGAGGCAGCAGUGGGAAUAUUGGACAAUGGGCGCAAGCCUGAUCCAGCAAUGCCGCGUGUGUGAAGAAGGUCUUCGGAUUGUAAAGCACUUUCGACGGGGACGAUGAUGACGGUACCCGUAGAAGAAGCCCGGCUAACUUCGUGCCAGCAGCCGC